UACGUAGGUGGCAAGCGUUGUCCGGAAUUAUUGGGCGUAAAGCGCGCGCAGGCGGUUUUUUCAGUCUGAUGUGAAAGCCCACGGCUCAACCGUGGAGGGUCAUUGGAAACUGGGGAACUUGAGUGCAGAAGAGGAAAGUGGAAUUCCAAGUGUAGCGGUGAAAUGCGUAGAGAUUUGGAGGAACACCAGUGGCGAAGGCGACUUUCUGGUCUGUAACUGACACUGAGGCGCGAAAGCGUGGGGAGCGAACAGG
rnacentral:rRNA from 1 species